rnacentral:misc_RNA from 1 species
GCUUUUAGCACCCUGGCCUGACUUGGUUGCAACUGCAUCAUGGGGACAAUUAGUGAGCCAAUCUUUUAUUUUGUUGGGCGUCUCUCUAUCAAUAACCCUGAGCCUCUUGGGCAAUGAUUUCAGGCGCGAUGGUUGUGAUUUGGCUGCCGCGGCUACUGCUGACUGCUGAGGCUGAAUGGAGUUGAAACUUGAAAGCGACCCGUUAUUUGACUUUCCGGCUACAGGUAGAUGUAACCCAUCAAAUAAUUGCAAUUGCUAAACUUGAAGGUUUGUUCAUCA